rnacentral:rRNA from 1 species
AGUCGAGCGCGCCCUUCGGGGUGAGCGGCGGACGGGUGAGUAACGCGUGGGAAUAUGCCCUUCUCUAAGGAAUAGCCUCUGGAAACGGAGAGUAAUACCUUAUACGCCCUUUGGGGGAAAGAUUUAUCGGAGAAGGAUUAGCCCGCGUUAGAUUAGGUAGUUGGUGGGGUAAUGGCCUACCAAGCCUACGAUCUAUAGCUGGUUUGAGAGGAUGAUCAGCCACACUGGGACUGAGACACGGCCCAGACUCCUACGGGAGGCAGCAGUAGGGAAUCUUAGACAAUGGGGGCAACCCUGAUCUAGCCAUGCCGCGUGUGUGAUGAAGGCCCUAGGGUCGUAAAGCACUUUCGCCAGAGAUGAUAAUGACAGUAUCUGGUAAAGAAACCCCGGCUAACUCCGUGCCAGCAGCCGCGGUAAUACGGAGGGGGUUAGCGUUGUUCGGAAUUACUGGGCGUAAAGCGCACGUAGGCGGAUUAGUAAGUUAGAGGUGAAAUCCCAGGGCUCAACCCUGGAACUGCCUUUAAUACUGCUAGUCUUGAGUUCGAGAGAGGUAAGUGGAAUUCCGAGUGUAGAGGUGAAAUUCGUAGAUAUUCGGAGGAACACCAGUGGCGAAGGCGGCUUACUGGCUCGAUACUGACGCUGAGGUGCGAAAGUGUGGGGAGCAAACAGGAUUAGAUACCCUGGUAGUCCACCCCGUAACGAUGAAUGCAGACGUCAGCAAGUAUACUUGUUGGUGUCACCCCUACGGAUUAAGCAUUCCGCCUGGGGAAUACGGUCGCAGGUUAAAACUCAAGGGAAUGGAGGGGGGCCGCCCA